UGAAGUUGAUCCUGGCCGAGACGACGCUGCGCGGCCUAAAUACAGCAAGUUAGCAUGAAGAUUGGUGCUUGCACCAAUUUGAAGAGCAAGCGAACGGUGAGUAACCGUGGGAACUCCUGUGAGCGGACAACAUAUUGAAACGAACUAAUACCGCAUAACAACUUAAACAAAUUUAAGUUUGAAAGAAUGCAAAAAAUGAGCAUCCCUCCAAAAAUAUCCCGCGUAAGUAUUACUAGUUUGAGUUGAGGUAAAGGCUCAACCAAGGCGAGAUACAUAGCCGACCUGAGAGGUGACGCCCAUUGGGACUGAGACACGGCCCCAAACUCCUACGGAGGCAGCAUAGGGAAAUCUUCGCAAUGGACAAAGUCUGACCGAGCACGCCGCGUGAAGUAAGAUGUUUCGGAUCGUAAAACUCUGUUGGAAAAGAACGUGUGAGAGUGAAAGCCAAUCAAGUAAGCGUAACUACCCACGAAAGGGACGGCUAACCUACUGCAGCAGCGCGUAAUACGAGUCCCGAGCGUUGUCCGAUUUAUUGGCUAAAGCGAGCGCAGUGGUUUAUUAAGUCGGUGUAAAAAAGUCAUGCUCAACCAUGUAUGCAGUGAAACUGAGAACUUGAGUGAGGAAGAGGAAAGAGUGGAAUCCAUGAUGUAGCGCGAAAUGCGUAGAUAUGGAGAACACCCGGCCCGAAAGCGCUCUUCGCCGAACUGACACUGAGGCUCGAAAGCGUGGGGAGCAAACAGGAUUAGAAUACCCUGGUAGUCCACGCGUAAAACAUGAGUGCUAGAUGUAGGGACUAAUAAGUUCUCUGUAUCGCAGCUAACGCAUAAGCAUCCCCUGGGAGUACGACCGCCAAGGUUGAAACCAAAGAAUGACGGGGGCCCCGCGCACAACGGUGGAGCAUGCUGGUUUAAUCGAAGCAACGCGAAAACCUUCCAAGGUCUGACAUGACUCGUGCUAUUCCUAAGAGAUAGGAGAUUCCUUCGGGAACAACGGGAUACAGGUGGGCAUGGUGUCUCACUCGUUGUCGUGAGAGUGUUGGGUUAAGUCCCGCAACGUACGCAACCGCCUUAUUGUUGUGAGUGCCAUCAUUAAGUUGGCAGCUCAACGAGACUGCCGGUGAUAAACGGAGGAGAGGGGGGAUACUCAAAUCUAUCAUGCACCCUUAUGACCUUGGGCUACACACGUGCUACAAUGAUGGACAACGAGUCGCGAGCAGUGAUGUUAACUGAAUCAUCUCUCUCAACACAAAAACGGAGGAGGAGGAAAGAGAAGAUAGAUUAGCUAAACUACUGUCCUCGCGACUCGGUGUACCAUCCA
rnacentral:rRNA from 1 species